CUUCAAUAACCCCAGGUAAAGUUACUAACUUCAAUAACCCCAGGUAAAGUUACUAACUUCAAUAACCCCAGGUAAAGUUACUAACUUCAAUAACCCCAGGUAAAGUUACUAACUUCAAUAACCCCAGGUAAAGUUACUAACUUCAAUAACCCCAGGUAAAGUUACUAACUUCAAUAACCCCAGGUAAAGUUACUAACUUCAAUAACCCCAGGUAAAGUUACUAACUUCAAUAACCCCAGGUAAAGUUACUAACUUCAAUAACCCCAGGUAAAGUUACUAACUUCAAUAACCCCAGGUAAAGUUACUAACUUCAAUAACCCCAGGUAAAGUUACUAACUUCAAUAACCCCAGGUAAAGUUACUAACUUCAAUAACCCCAGGUAAAGUUACUAACUUCAAUAACCCCAGGUAAAGUUACUAACUUCAAUAACCCCAGGUAAAGUUACUAACUUCAAUAACCCCAGGUAAAGUUACUAACUUCAAUAACCCCAGGUAAAGUUACUAACUUCAAUAACCCCAGGUAAAGUUACUAACUUCAAUAACCCCAGGUAAAGUUACUAACUUCAAUAACCCCAGGUAAAGUUACUAACUUCAAUAACCCCAGGUAAAGUUACUAACUUCAAUAACCCCAGGUAAAGUUACUAACUUCAAUAACCCCAGGUAAAGUUACUAACUUCAAUAACCCCAGGUAAAGUUACUAACUUCAAUAACCCCAGGUAAAGUUACUAACUUCAAUAACCCCAGGUAAAGUUACUAACUUCAAUAACCCCAGGUAAAGUUACUAAC